AUCCUAACUCGAGCAUUUAUUGAAUAUUUACAGAAGAUAAGUGCUCUCUGUUGGGAUGA
rnacentral:pre_miRNA from 1 species